CAGGGGUGCAGCAAGGAGAGAAAUGAGGCUGAGCUGGGUCUUGACAGUACUGUCCAUCUGCCUGAGCGCCCUGGUCAUGGCCACAGGGGCCGAGGGCAAACGGAAGCUCCAGAUCGGAGUCAAGAAACCGGUAGACCGCUGUCCCAUCAAAUCGCACAAAGGGGACGUCCUGCACGUGCUCUACACGGGGAAGCUGGAAGAUGGAACAGAGUUUGAUAGCGGUCUGCCCCAGAACCAGUCCUUUGUCUUCUCCUUGGGCACAGGCCAGGUCAUCAAGGGCUGGGACCAGGGGCUGCUAGGGAUGUGUGAGGGGAAAAAGCGGAAGCUGGUAAUCCCAUCAGAGCUGGGGUAUGGAGAUCGGGGAGCUCCCCCAAAGAUUCCAGGUGGUGCAACCUUGGUGUUCGAGGUGGAGCUGCUCAAAAUCAAGCGAUGUUCAGAACUGUAGCCAAACUGGAGAAAGGUGGUGGAGAGGCCCCCAUCAGGGACCAGACUGUUUAAAGAAAGAAAAAAAACCUUAAAACCCAAAAUAAACCAACAAAAAA